rnacentral:piRNA from 1 species
UCAAGAGUUUGUGGGUUGUUUUCUGGCA